CUGCAGAAGGUGCUUCUGGGUGGAUCCCAGGCAGAGGAAUCAGAGGCAAAACAUGGAGGGAGUGAACUCCUGAAAUCACUUGGGUUCUGAAUCCAGCCAAGCCCGAAACCAGCCCUGCCCUGGGCUUUUCAGCUCAACCUACUGCCUGCCCAGGGCCAUCAAUAAUAAAUGUCCACAGACAGCUGAAGGACAUUAAAGACAGAUGGUGAUGGAUCAGAGCACUCAUCAGCCACUGGGUGUAGACUGUAUAAAAAGCUGAGCCCAGAGGCCACCAUGAUCAACCUGCAACCUGGCAAGAAAUGGACUCAACUCCACAGACAGCAGUUGUCAGGGAGCCCAGAGACAGAGCACUACGGAAGGGAGCCCCAUUCCCAAGCAUGGUGUCCAAUACACUGAAAGAAUAACUGGGCUCAGUAAUGCACCUAGAGACUCAGAUUCCAGACCUGCCCACUUGCUUUACUAUCCAAAACAACCAUGACACAUGACUUCUCUGGCGGGGUGUUGGCCAAGACAAACUGAACUAUAGAAGAUCCUUGACUUGCCAACGUUCAAAUGAUGAACUUUCAAAAAUAGCGAAACUGGCUGCAGAGCAAAAGCUUUUCAGCUCUGCACAACACCAACAGAUGGCGCUAAGUGUCACCCUUGUGGAGAGCAGAGGGACCUCGGAAGGGCCUUUGGAAAUCUAAUCUGGUUUUGAGUUCUUGGUGGGAAAAUGCACCUUUAAGUUGGGGGAGUUUGAAGACGUUGCCAAGACACGUGCUGCAGCAUUUGAUCUUUUCUGCCGCACUGGCUUCUGCAAUUAACAUGCUUUCACCAGUGAAACUCAGGUUGCGGGGAGAGCAUUCUUCCAGGUUCAUGCCUGUUGUCAUGGAGUAAUUAUAAUUCAUGUCUCCGUUCACAGUGUCCUGGUUUGUAGAAUAAAAUAUCUGGUCCACCCA
rnacentral:lncRNA from 1 species